UGCGUGCACAGAGACACUCACACAGGGAGAAUGCCAUGUGAAGACUGGAGUUAAAAUGGUCACUAGCCAAGGAACUAUGGGAAGCUUAGAGAGGUCUGGAACUGAUCCUUCCCUAGCACUUUCAAAGAGAUCAUGGCCUGCCAACACCCUGAUGCCAGACUGCUAGCUCCAGAACUCUUGAAGAUAUUAUGCAAAGGAGAAGGAAAGGGAAGAGAAGAACAAAAGGGAUAGGAAAUAAAGAAAAUGGCAACAUUGGUUAAAACUGA